rnacentral:lncRNA from 11 species
GGACCAGAUAACAUGGCUUUGGGCAUGAUCAUUUUGCCCCAAAAGGCACGCGUUAGAUUCGAGUCAAUAAGGUGAGGGCGUAUUUCUUCCCCAGGAGGAAUUGGUCCACCAAGCAAGGGAUUUGGAGAUCUCCGGAGGCAGUGGGACCCUUGGCAUUUCGAUGGGAGACAAGCCGAAAGAGUCAGUGGAAAGGACGGAGACGAGCUCUGGAGACGGGACUCAUAGUGACCGCCGGGCCCUCGAACCCGGGAUUUCAGGGCGGACGAAGCUCUCAAAGGAUGUCCCCAAGGACGAGCCCAUUGUCCCGGCCCGGCGAGAGCAAGGAGAGAAAAGGUCCGAUCCAGGGAAUCGGCCGCUGAACCUGCUGACGGAUCAUCCCCGCAGCUCCGACCUUUCCGACAUUAUGGAGGAGGAAGAGGAAGAGGAGGAGGAAGAUCGUGCUGGGUCUCAGGGUCCAAGAUGGAAACUGAGCGAAUCCUGCAGUCGGGAAAACGGAGAGAAGUUUGACUCCGACGGAGACAGCGACGAAGAAGUCUUGGAACGCAUCCUGGAGGCGGCGCCGUUGCCGAAAAACCACAGCAAAGCGCUCUUUAGCAUCCCAGAGGUCACCGAGGAAGAAGAGGAGGAGGAAGACUGGGCACAGCGGGAGGCGUCUCCCGUCAAGAAAGCAAAGGAUCGGACGAAGAAGUGCGGAGGUCUUUCAGGAUACGGGCAGAUGCUCAGAAGGCGGAAGGACGAGCUAAGCUGGGAUUGCCGAGAAUCACGAAUCGGGUUCGGUAACGACGAAUCGCGAGGCAAACAGGCGCAGAAAUCCGGCCGUUGCACAAUCGGAGGAGGCCUUUAUCGAGCACACAGUUUGAAGGAGAACCUGGACGUGAUCACCAACCUUGAGCCAGGGUCCGACGUGUGCGGCUGGAAGGCGGUCCGUUGUCGCCGCACGAUGCCCCAGGAACCCGUCCGGAGACUCUGCCUGAGUCCGGAAAGUCUGGAGAUCGACGUGGAAUACGACUCCGAGGAAGACCUCACCAUCAUGUCCACUCCGGUGACCAACUUGAGCUCGGCCGACGGGUCGCCCACCGACUGCGAGGAGGAAUGGAGCGACUCCUCGGGAUCCAACGAUCCGAAGGAGCUAAAGCGCUGCAGCAGUUGGGACGCCGACGAGCGGACCGAGGCGCAGAAAGGCUCUCCGGGACACUCUCCCCGACGGAGGGCGCGGACAACCGGAGGGGCCGUGGAGGAGCGGAGCCGGAGCCUGGAGAGGAGCCCCUCGCUCUGGAGAGCCCUCGCCGAACGCAAAGACCCUCCUCGGAAUUGGGUCCGUGAGAUGCUAUAUCCGCCGCGCUUGCCACAAUCCCAGUCGUGUUUGCCACCCUCGCUUGCAUCCCGCUAUAUGAUACGAUCUCUUCUGUGUGGCAAAAGGAGAGAUUUUGCUCUGUGGCUGUGUUGCAUUCCGAAAAAAGUUGUCGCAUUUGUGGCAUCCCAUUGCUUCUGUCGUGUUUUGCUCCCGUGGCCGACGAGUUGUUGUUGGCUGAGUGUUUGCAAUGCAGUAUUCCUCUUGGGUGAUUCGUAGGGUUGUUCGCUGCUUUGAGC